CCUACGGGGUGCAGCAGUAGGGAAUCUUCCACAAUGGGCGAAAGCCUGAUGGAGCAACGCCGCGUGGGUGAAGAAGGUCUUCGGAUCGUAAAACCCUGUUGUUAGAGAAGAAAGUGCGUGAGAGUAACUGUUCACGUUUCGACGGUAUCUAACCAGAAAGCCACGGCUAACUACGUGCCAGCAACCGCGGUAAUACGUAGGUGGCAAGCGUUAUCCGGAUUUAUUGGGCGUAAAGGGAACGCAGGCGGUCUUUUAAGUCUGAUGUGAAAGCCUUCGGCUUAACCGGAGUAGUGCAUUGGAAACUGGGAGACGUGAGUGCAGAAGAGGAGAGUGGAACUCCAUGUGUAGCGGUGAAAUGCGUAGAUAUAUGGAAGAACACCAGUGGCGAAAGCGGCUCUCUGGUCUGUAACUGACGCUGAGGUUCGAAAGCGUGGGUAGCAAACAGGAUUAGAUACCCUUGUAGUC
rnacentral:rRNA from 1 species